rnacentral:lncRNA from 1 species
CCUUGUACCACCAGCAUCUUGGGUCAUCUUCACUCUGUGACUGGAGACAUGUCUCAAAAUCCAUUACAGGAAAGGAUGAGCAGUAUGGUGGCAAAAAAAAAAAAAAAAAGAAGAAGAAGAAGAAGAAAAGAAAAAUGACAAUUUGUAGUAGAAGGAUUUGAAUCACCCAGAGCUAUAGUAACUAUUCUAA